GUGCCAGCCGCCGCGGUAAUACGGAGGGUGCGAGCGUUGUCCGGAAUCACUGGGCGUAAAGGGCGCGUAGGCGGCCGAGCAAGGUCGCGGUGAAAGCCCGGGGCUCAACCCCGGGUCGGCCGUGGCAACUACUCGGCUCGAGCACUGUAGGGGCGGGUGGAAUUCCGGGUGUAGCGGUGGAAUGCGUAGAGAUCCGGAAGAACACCGGUGGCGAAGGCGGCCCGCUGGGCAGGAAGACCCCUUUACGGGGGUCGGCUGACGCUGAGGCGCGACAGCGUGGGGAGCAAACAGGAUUAGAAACCCCCGUAGUCC
rnacentral:rRNA from 1 species